rnacentral:rRNA from 1 species
UGGUGAAUGGUUUGACGAGGGCUAUGCUGUCUCUUUUAGAAUAUUUAAAAAUUAACUUUUAGGUGAAGAGGCCUAAAUUUGUUUAAGGGACAAGAAGACCCUGUUGAGCUUUAGUGAAAUUAUAAGUGUAGUAAACUUACGUAGAUUCUAUGGCAGUUAUUAUAUAGUUAAUAUAAUAAUAGGCUUGUAAUUAAUCUUUAGUUGGGGCGACUGAGGAACAUAAGAAGCUUCCUUUAUUUUAAAACAUUAAUGUGAUGUUGUAGGGGCUUAAAUGUUUAUAAAUUAUUUUGAUCCAAUUUGUUUUGAUUAAAAGAAAAAGUUACCACAGGGAUAACAGCGUAAUCUUUCUGGAGAGAUCUAAUCGAAAGAAGGGUUUGCGACCUCGAUGUUGGACUAAGAUAUCCUAAGGGUGCAGAAGCUCUUAAAGGUUGGUCUGUUCGACCAUUAAAAUCUU